rnacentral:rRNA from 1 species
GUCUUUAAGAUUUUUUUAAUUUAAAGUCUAAUCUGCCCAAUGAUGAUUUAUUUAAUGGCUGCAGAAUUUAUACUGUACAAAGGUAGCAUAAUAAUUUGUUUUUUAAUUAAAAACUUGAAUGAAAGAUUAAAUGAAAUAUAAACUGUUUCAAUUAAAUUUUACAUUAAAUUUUUUAUUUAAGUAAAAAAACUUAAAUAAAAUUUAAAGACGACAAGACCCUAUAGAAUUUUAUUUAUAAUUUAUUUUAUAAUUUUAUAAGAUUAUAAAUUUUAUUGGGGUAAUAAAAAAAUUAAAUUAAUUUUUUUUUAAAAUAACAUAAUUUAAUGAAUAAAAAAUCUUAAUUUUUAAAUUAAAAAAAUUAAUUACCUUAGGGAUAACAGCAUAAUUUUUUUUAAAAGAUCUUAUUAAUAAAAAAGAUUAU